UGGGGAAUAUUGCACAAUGGGCGAAAGCCUGAUGCAGCAACGCCGCGUGAGUGAUGAAGGCCUUCGGGUUGUAAAGCUCUGUCUUCUGGGACGAUAAUGACGGUACCAGAGGAGGAAGCCACGGCUAACUACGUGCCAGCAGCCGCGGUAAUACGUAGGUGGCAAGCGUUGUCCGGAUUUACUGGGCGUAAAGGAUGCGUAGGCGGUCAUUUAAGUUUGGUGUUUAAGCCCGGGGCUCAACCCCGGUACGCAUCGAAAACUGGGUGACUGGAGUGUAGGAGAGGAAAGUGGAAUUCCACGUGUAGCGGUGAAAUGCGUAGAGAUGUGGAGGAACACCAGUGGCGAAGGCGACUUUCUGGCCUAUAACUGACGCUGAGGCGCGAAAGCGUGGGGAGCAAACA
rnacentral:rRNA from 1 species